rnacentral:rRNA from 1 species
UACGAAGGGGGCUAGCGUUGUUCGGAAUUACUGGGCGUAAAGGGCUCGUAGGCGGCCAACUAAGUCAGACGUGAAAUCCCUCGGCUUAACCGGGGAACUGCGUCUGAUACUGGAUGGCUUGAGUUUGGGAGAGGGAUGCGGAAUUCCAGGUGUAGCGGUGAAAUGCGUAGAUAUCUGGAGGAACACCGGUGGCGAAGGCGGCAUCCUGGACCAACACUGACGCUGAGGAGCGAAAGCCAGGGGAGCAAACGGG